rnacentral:rRNA from 1 species
AACGAACGCUGGCGGCGUGCCUAACACAUGCAAGUCGAACGUGAUUGAAGAGCUUGCUCCUCAUGAAAGUGGCGCACGGGUGAGUAACGCGUAGAUAAUCUACCUGAUGAUUCGGGAUAACACUUCGAAAGGGGUGCUAAUACGGGAUAAGCCCACGGAGUCUUUGUACACUGCGGGUAAAGGAGGGGACCUUCGGGCCUUCCGUCAUCAGAUGAGGCUGCGUACCAUUAGGUAGUUGGUAGGGUAAAGGCCUACCAAGGCGACGAUGGUUAGCUGGUCUGAGAGGAUGAUCAGCCACACUGGAACUGAGACACGGUCCAGACUCCUACGGGAGGCAGCAGUGGGGAAUUUUGCGCAAUGGGGGAAACCCUGACGCAGCAACGCCGCGUGAGUGAUGAAGGCCCUUGGGUCGUAAAGCUCUGACAGAGGGAAAGAAAUGUGGGUGACUAAUAUCCAUUCCACUUGACGGUACCCUCAAAGGAAGCACCGGCUAACUCCGUGCCAGCCGCCGCGGUAAGAC